rfam:Oryzias latipes DNA, scaffold5238, strain: Hd-rR.
CCCAGGUAUGGAGACAUGGUCCCAAAGACCAUCAUGGGGAAGAUUUUCGGCUCCAUCUGCUCGCUGAGCGGCGUGCUGGUCAUCGCUCUGCCAGUGCCAGUCAUCGUGUCCAAC